GAUGAACGCUGGCGGCGUGCCUAAUACAUGCAAGUCGAGCGAACGGACGAGAAGCUUGCUUCUCUGAUGUUAGCGGCGGACGGGUGAGUAACACGUGGUUAACCUACCUAUAAGACUGGGAUAACUUCGGGAAGCCGGAGCUAAUACCGGAUAAUAUUUUGAACCGCAUGGUUCAAAAGUGAAAGACGGUCUUGCUGUCACUUAUAGAUGGAUCCGCGCUGCAUUAGCUAGUUGGUAAGGUAACGGCUUACCAAGGCAACGAUGCAUAGCCGACCUGAGAGGGUGAUCGGCCACACUGGAACUGAGACACGGUCCAGACUCCUACGGGAGGCAGCAGUAGGGAAUCUUCCGCAAUGGGCGAAAGCCUGACGGAGCAACGCCGCGUGAGUGAUGAAGGUCUUCGGAUCGUAAAACUCUGUUAUUAGGGAAGAACAUAUGUGUAAGUAACUGUGCACAUCUUGACGGUACCUAAUCAGAAAGCCACGGCUAACUACGUG
rnacentral:rRNA from 1 species